CUCCCGCCCACCGUUUAGAGAGCUCGUGGAGGGCGAGGGGCGCGUGUGAGCUCCCCGCGCAGCGUCCCGGGCAGCGGCGGGGCCGGCUCGCGGGGCUCGGCGUAGCGUUGUCCGUGUGGGGGCAGCUCAGGGGCCUCUCACCACGCUGAACCCGGCCUCUCCGCAGCCCCAGGGGACCGGCUUGUGUUGGCGUUUAGUGGCUCCGCAGUGGACUUGGGAAAGAAUGCGGGAAGGGAAGGGAAAGCUGGAAGGAUUGGUGGAGGAAGUAACCUGGGACCAGGAUCAGGAGAUCUGAGGGAGUCACUUUAUCGUGGUUUCCUACAUGGGAAAUAUCGCUGUGAAAUUAGAUGACCUCCAAGGCCGCGCGGACCAGCAGAAUUAGCAUCACCUAGAAGCUUGUUAGAAAUGCAGAUUUAGGGCCGCGCCCCAGACUUGCUGAGUCAGAAUCUCGGUGAGGGGGGGGGGCCCUGCCAGCUGUGGUUUUUCACAAGCUCUCCAGGUGAUGGUGAUCUGCGCUGAAGUUGAGAAGCGCUGAUCUGGCAGUGCUGCUCCAACUCGCUGCGGAUUAGAAUGGCAGGGGAGUUUUGGAACCUCCCAAAUAAAAAUAUCUCAUUGGCGAACUGGAGGGAUGGGAGGGCAGAAAGCGCAGGCAUAAGUAGGUUUUUUUGGUUUUGUUUUUGGUUUUUAAGCUUCUCCAGUGUUGUCAUGUGCUGUCAAGGUGAGAGUCAUGGAUAGAACAAAGUGUGGUCCCUGGAGAAAGCAGGCCUCACGCAGCCCUCACGCAGAUCUACUGAAUCACAACCUGCAUUUUCACAGGCUCCCCAAGUAAUUCGUAUGCAGGUUUGGGUUUUGGAAAAACAGCUCUAAGGCUUCCUCCAACAUUUAGAAUCUAUGAGUUUAUGAAAUAUGUCUUUCUGUUUUACAGACUCUUAGACGGCUCCAUUUCUUCAACUUUUCUCAAAAGACGAUCUUCAUUAGGGGUCUUUGUCUAGUGCACUUGAAUUUUGACAUUUUAAUUAGACUUCCGGCUUCUCAAGAGACCUAGGAGAUUAUUAAGGCCACUGGGCCCACUUGACAGAGGAAGAGGGGAAGCCCUGUCUAGACAGGUGAAGAGAUUCCCCCAGGCCAGGGGAACCAGAAUGCUGACGUGGGGCCCUGGGUCACUGCCGGUUCUGUUACCCCACAUAGUAUCGUGAGGAGUUAUUUUUUGGUUUCCUCAAACAUUAUGGUGCGGGCAGCGAUGACACUGAGCUUGCGCUGCGUGGGCUGCAGACAGGGACGUUUUGGAGUAGAGCAACCCACUGGCAAUGCUGCCAGUCUGGCUGGGGAGGUGGGGGUGGGCACAUGGUUUCAGCCUAUGCUUUUGGGGACAAGGGGAGAAGAAGGGGUGAUUUCCAAGGGACUGAAAGGUUGGUGGUUUGUGGUAUGGUUGAAAGAAUGUCACCUGCCGUAUCAGUAAGCAAGGGAUGUUGCAGCCAUCAAGCCUGCAGUCCCUGCAGCUGUCCCACCCCCAAAAUCCCCGGCUGUGCACCCUGAGAGAAUUCAGGAUGGAGAAGAGCAGGACUCCGGGCCUAGAGAGCUCAGUCAACAAUUUUGGUGACCACAAAGGGGCCGAGAGCAGACUUCUCUCCUUCGCCUGAACUCUGCAAGUGUCAGGAGCCGGAUACCACAGAGGCCUCUUGGGCCUGUCCGCCUCCUCGGAGGGUCCAGAUGAUUUUGGCGAACUCUGGAUGCUUCAAAGGAACCCUGAGACAUCUCGGAGAGGAAUACUGAACUAAUUAGACUUGUUUGGAUUUGGCUUCUCCAGCUGGCUCCCCGUAGACUUGACAGUUUAUUGCGACCAGAUUACAAUUAGUUAUACUAAUCAUUGUUUUAAUUUGUUCUGUUUGUUUUCAAUUUGUUUAUGGUGGGUGUGGCUCUCUGCUGCAUUAUGACUUUAUUAUGUUACUAGUUGUAUUGCUUAUAUCCUGUCUGUUUUAUAAGAUUGUUGUCUCUUGCAUUUCCCAAUGUGUAUCCAGUCCUCCAACAAAAUUAAGGAUGUCUUGAGAGAGUUAAUCAUGUAUAUAACUCUACCUAGAAUAACAGUGCAACUCUAGGUAUGGGAAGAAGCAACAAGGGAAAAUAUUUCCUGGAUCAUAAGUGACUAGUGAAACAGGCGAGCCAGGGAGUUUGAGAUCACCCACAGGUUCUGAUCCAGAAAAGAUCACUGAACGGCCUAUCAACAGAAUAUUCACCUGAUCUAGGGACGAGCCUUCCUACUGCCAUGGGACAAAAUUGGUCAUGAAAUGUCUCCCAAUUUGGCCGAAUUUAUGACCAAGGCGAGACACUGUGGAUGAAAAAUGUCACCUGCCACAUCAGCGAACAAAGGAUGUUGUGGCCAUCAAGCCAUCAGCCCCUGCAGUCACCCACAACGGUGCACCCUGAGGGAUUGAGGAUGGACAAAAGCAGGAGUCUGGCCCCAGAUAGCUAAGGUGCAGGUCAAAGGAGUGAUUUCAGUGAGCCCAGGCUCUUGCAUCUUCCCAUCCACUAACUUGAGGUGUCUGGUUUUCUCGCACAGUCAUCUUCUGAUGGUCUGACCACCUGGUGCAUCCUGGUUCCUCCCUUACCUCUUCAGAGCAGUUCUUCAGAGCGAUCUGAGAGGCUGUCUUCUGGGUUUAAAUCCUCAGAAUAUCUGCCAAAUAAAACGUAAUUUUCAACUUUUAGAUUGUGCCCCUUUUUUCAGCUGACACUGGCUACUUAGCAACUAUUUCUUCUCUUCCCCAUGGACACCGCCUGGUAUGAACGUCAUUAGCCCUCUGCCUCCCCCAGCGAAGGGGCAGACACUCUCCAGAUUUGAAUCCUGAUCAGAGUGACCGGAAGUCUGAAGACAGCAGGUGCUGUCCCCACCAGCAGAGGCCCUCUGAGAAGCUCUCUACCUGCUCUGACACAAGUGUCUUCAAAAAGGAGCCAAUGACGCCACCAAAACUCUCAACAGAGGCGUCUCUGAGGUCAUCGUGAUGGCUGCGGACAUGAGUCUCGGACAUCCUCCUGCACCUGCCUGCCUGCUGUGUGAGAAUGAGAACGUGCCCUACGUGUCUGUGCGCUCAGGCAGGCCCUGGGGCGGGCCUGUGGGGUCUCCAGGCCUGUCAUCGCCUGUCCUGUCACUAUCAAAGAAAGCUCAGAACUGAAGCAGCAGAUCCAAUCCAUCCAGCAGUCCAUUGACAGGCUCUUAGUCUAAACAGGUGGCCUCUGCCACACUCCCUGCUGACUCCUCCCCCAGAGGUUAUGUGUCAUGUUGUCUGUUAGCAUGUAGUAUUUCCAGCUACCUUCUAUUGUUAUAAACUAUUGUAGUGCUAAAAAA